CAUCCCCUGCCUGGUGCGUGAUGGUGCGUGGCUCCAUUGUCGCGAACCUUUGACGGAAUCGUUGGGAGACGUCCCUGCCGGCACCGCGCGAACUGCCGCCAAGCUAGGCAGAGGCAGGCUGUCGGUAUCACGUCACCCCCCUGCAGACGCAGGUUCCGACCGCGCGCAUCACACGGCCGAGGCGGGGGAAUC
rnacentral:other from 1 species